rnacentral:rRNA from 1 species
UUGAUCACAUAGAGAGUGAGACGACCAGCUUACAAGUUACAAUUCUCUGAAUAUGUCAAGAUACACCCUGUGUUUCAUGUAAGCCAGCUCAAGAAACACAUUGGAGACAAAUCUAUCCCUAGUCCCUAUCUAUCAUUUAUAAAUGCAGAUGGCACUAUCAAGACAGGCCCAACUACAGUUCUCCAAGUAAGACAAGUUCCUAGGCGUAAUGCACCUGUUGUUCAGUGGCUGAUUCACUGGCAGAAAUUGCCCCCUGAGGACGUCUCAUGGGAGGACGCUGACUUCAUCAGGUAUACCUUCCCGGAGUUCUUCAAAACUACAACGCAGGCUUGGCGCGAAGCAAAGCAAACACCAUGA